CCGAUCGCGUCACCUUCAGGAACAACUCGAUGUCGCGCGCAAACACCGCCUCUCCUCCCAACACCACCAGCCGAACGGUGUCGGGAAACGAGCCCUCUUCCGCAAGGAUGCGGAAUACUGUAGGAGUUGCGUGCAGCACUGUCACGCGCCGCUCUCCGAGCCACUGCAACAGGCGCGCCG
rnacentral:misc_RNA from 1 species